UGAUAGCAAAGUGGUUAGAGCGCUAGCGUGGUAAAGUAGGGACUCGGGUUCGGUUCCCGGU
rnacentral:tRNA from 1 species